rnacentral:rRNA from 1 species
GAUUUCUGACUUGGCGCACCUGGCCCGCCACGGUUACGUGUGUGAGUGCUGGGAUGCGCCUGUCACUUUUCUGGUAAACCAUUGUGCUCUUCACUGAGUGUGAUGGGUAGCCAGACAUUUUACUUUGAAAAAAUUAGAGUGUUUAAAGCAGGCGUUUGCUAUGAAUACAUUAGCAUGGAAUAAUAAGUUAGGACUUCGGUUCUAUUUUGUUGGUUUCUAGGACUGAAGUAAUGAUUGAUAGGGAUAGUUGGGGGUGCUAGUAUUCAGCGGCCAGAGGUGAAAUUCUCGGAUUCGCUGAAGACUAACUUAUGCGAAAGCAUU